rnacentral:lncRNA from 1 species
CCCAUCUCCUCCCUCAAUCACCUCCGCCGCUACUCCACCCUCUAUCAUGGCACACGAGAGGCCCACCAUAUAGGUCCCAAUGACGGACUCCUGGGCUGCAGCCUCCUCUCUAGUAUUUUUGUUUUUUUGUUGAUGUGUUGUACACCUUCCAAAUAUUGAGGACUUAAUGAGAUGCAUUUGUAACUUUAUCAUUAAAGAUAAUUUAAGA